rnacentral:rRNA from 1 species
UUUAUCAAAAACAUGGCUCUUUGUAUAACCUGUAAAUAAAGAGUCAGACCUGCCCAGUGAAAAUAUUUAACGGCCGCGGUACCCUGACCGUGCAAAGGUAGCAUAAUCAUUUGCCUUAUAAUUGAAGGCUAGUAUGAAUGGUUUAACUAGAACAAAGCUGUCUCUUUACAAUUUAAUAAAAUUUUAUUUUUAGGUGAAGAAGCCUGAAUUUAAUUAAAAGACAAGAAGACCCUAUCGAGCUUUAAAUAAAUUAACAAAUUUACUUAAAAUAUUUAUAUAAAAAAUUAAUUGUUAAAAAUUUUGGUUGGGGCGACUAAGGAACAAUUAAAGCUUCCUUAAUAUUUAAUAAUUUACUAAUAUUGAUCCAAAUUUUUUGAUUAAAGAAAUUAGUUACCGUAGGGAUAACAGCAUUAUCUUUUUUAAGAGCUCUUAUCGAAAAAAAGGUUUGUGACCUCGAUGUUGGACCAGAAUAUCCUAAAGAUGCAGAAGUCUUUAAGGGUUGGUCUGUUCGACCAUUAAAAUUCUACGUGAUCUGAGUUCAGACCGGCGUGAGCCAGGUCAGUUUCUAUCUUUAAUUUUUAUUUUGAGUUUAGUACGAAAGGACCAACUUAUAAUAUUUAAUGUUAUAUAUGAAAUAAUUUAAUAUUUUAGUAUCAGAUUAGCACACUUUAAUGCAAUUGAUUUAGGAUCAAUAGAUAUAGGUGAAACUCCUUUAUCUGAUACUAUUUAUAAAGAUGGCAGAUUAUAGUGCAUUAGGUUU